CCUAGGGUGGCAGCAGUGGGGAAUAUUGGACAAUGGGCGAAAGCCUGAUCCAGCCAUGCCGCGUGUGUGAAGAAGGCCUUCGGGUUGUAAAGCACUUUCAGUGGGGAAGAAAGCCUUGGGGCUAAUACCCUCGAGGAAGGACAUCACCCACAGAAGAAGCACCGGCUAACUCCGUGCCAGCAGCCGCGGUAAUACGGAGGGGGCGAGCGUUAAUCGGAAUUACUGGGCGUAAAGCGCGCGUAGGCGGUCUGAUAAGCCGGUUGUGAAAGCCCCGGGCUCAACCUGGGAACGGCAUCCGGAACUGUCAGGCUAGAGUGCAGGAGAGGAAGGUAGAAUUCCCGGUGUAGCGGUGAAAUGCGUAGAGAUCGGGAGGAAUACCAGUGGCGAAGGCGGCCUUCUGGACUGACACUGACGCUGAGGAGCGAAAGCGUGGGUAGCAAACAGGAUUAGAUACCCCUGUAGUC
rnacentral:rRNA from 1 species